CAAGAUUUUCGUAGGUCUACGACU
rnacentral:siRNA from 1 species